CGGACGGGUGAGUAACGCGUGGAAAACCUGCCGUAUACUGGGGGAUAACACUUAGAAAUAGGUGCUAAUACCGCAUAAGCGCACAGCUUCGCAUGAAGCGGUGUGAAAAACUCUGGUGGUAUACGAUGGUUCCGCGUCUGAUUAGCUAGUUGGUGGGGUAAUGGCCUACCAAGGCGACGAUCAGUAGCCGGCCUGAGAGGGUGAACGGCCACAUUGGGACUGAGACACGGCCCAAACUCCUACGGGAGGCAGCAG
rnacentral:rRNA from 1 species